GUGGGGAAUAUUGGACAAUGGGCGCAAGCCUGAUCCAGCCAUGCCGCGUGAGUGAUGAAGGCCUUAGGGUUGUAAAGCUCUUUCAGUGGGGAAGAUAAUGACGGUACCCACAGAAGAAGCCCCGGCUAACUUCGUGCCAGCAGCCGCGGUAAUACGAAGGGGGCUAGCGUUGUUCGGAUUUACUGGGCGUAAAGCGCACGUAGGCGGAUUGGUCAGUUAGGGGUGAAAUCCUGGAGCUCAACUCCAGAACUGCCCUUAAUACUGCCAGUCUCGAGUACGGAAGAGGUGAGUGGAACUCCUAGUGUAGAGGUGGAAUUCGUAGAUAUUAGGAAGAACACCAGUGGCGAAGGCGGCUCACUGGUCCGGUACUGACGCUGAGGUGCGAAAGCGUGGGGAGCAAACAGGAUUAGAAACCCGUGUAGUCC
rnacentral:rRNA from 1 species